UACGUAGGGGGCUAGCGUUGUCCGGAAUCAUUGGGCGUAAAGCGCGUGUAGGCGGCCCGGUAAGUCCGCUGUGAAAGUCGGGGGCUCAGCCCUCGGAUGCCGGUGGAUACUGUCGGGCUCGAGUACGGAAGAGGCGAGUGGAAUUCCUGGUGUAGCGGUGAAAUGCGCAGAUAUCAGGAGGAACACCGAUUGCGAAGGCAGCUCGCUGGGACGUGACUGACGCUGAGACGCGAAAGCGUGGGGAGCAAACAGG
rnacentral:rRNA from 1 species